CUUUACCUCGGGGCGCAGCAGUGAGGAAUAUUGGUCAAUGGGCGCGAGCCUGAACCAGCCAAGGCGCGUGAGGGAUGACGGUCCUACGGAUUGUAAACCUCUUUUGCCGGGGAGCAAGCGUGCGUUCGCGAACGCGCGUCGAGAGUACCCGGAGAAAAAGCAUCGGCUAACUCCGUGCCAGCAGCCGCGGUAAUACGGAGGAUGCGAGCGUUAUCCGGAUUUAUUGGGUUUAAAGGGUGCGUAGGCGGGAUGCCGAGUCAGCGGUAAAAAUGCGGAGCUCAACGCCGGCGAGCCGUUGAAACUGG
rnacentral:rRNA from 1 species